rnacentral:rRNA from 1 species
GACGAACGCUGGCGGCGUGCUUAACACAUGCAAGUCGAACGGAAAGGCCCUGCUUUUGUGGGGUGCUCGAGUGGCGAACGGGUGAGUAACACGUGAGUAACCUGCCCUUGACUUUGGGAUAACUUCAGGAAACUGGGGCUAAUACCGGAUAGGAGCUCCUGCUGCAUGGUGGGGGUGGGAAAGUUUCGGCGGUUGGGGAUGGACUCGCGGCUUAUCAGCUUGUUGGUGGGGUAGUGGCUUACCAAGGCUUUGACGGGUAGCCGGCCUGAGAGGGUGACCGGCCUCAUUGGGACUGAGAUACGGCCCAGACUCCUACGGGAGGCAGCAGUGGGGAAUAUUGCACAAUGGGCGGAAGCCUGAUGCAGCAACGCCGCGUGCGGGAUGACGGCCUUCGGGUUGUAAACCGCUUUCGCCUGUGACGAAGCGUGAGUGACGGUAAUGGGUAAAGAAGCACCGGCUAACUACGUG